rnacentral:tRNA from 1 species
GGAGAGGUGCGCCGAAUGGCUAAGGCACUGGUUUGGAGAACCAGGACCCCUUACGGGGUUUGCAGGUUCGAGUCCUGUCCUCUCCGCCA